GAUGAACGCUAGCGACAGGCUUAAUACAUGCAAGUCGAGGGACCGGCGCACGGGUGAGUAACACGUAUCCAACCUGCCCGUUACUCGGGGAUAGCGUUUCGAGGAACAGAUUAAUACCCGAUAUAACGGAUGGGGAUGCGUUCCAUUAGGUUGUUGGUGAGGGACCGGCUACCCAAGCCUUCGAUGGAUAGGGGCUCUGAGAGGAAGGUACCCCACAUUGGAACUGAGGCACGGUCCCCUCUCGUACGGAGGGCUGCAGUGAGGACUAUUGUUCAAUGUGCGCUAGCCUGACCCAGCCGCGUGACGUGAAGGAGGAAGGUGUCUGGAUCGUCUAUUAUUUUUAUAUAAGAUUAUGUAUUUUAUGAAUAAGGAUCGGCUAACUCCGUGCCAGCAGCCGCGGUAAUAC
rnacentral:rRNA from 1 species